AGCGAACGCUGGCGGCAGGCUUAACACAUGCAAGUCGAGCGGGCGUAGCAAUACGUCAGCGGCAGACGGGUGAGUAACGCGUGGGAACAUACCUUUUGGUUCGGAACAACACAGGGAAACUUGUGCUAAUACCGGAUAAGCCCUUACGGGGAAAGAUUUAUCGCCGAAAGAUUGGCCCGCGUCUGAUUAGGUAGUUGGUGAGGUAACGGCUCACCAAGCCGACGAUCAGUAGCGGUCUGAGAGGAUGAUCAGCCACACUGGGACUGAGACACGGCCCAGACUCCUACGGGAGGCAGCAGUGGGGAAUAUUGGACAAUGGGCGAAAGCCUGAUCCAGCCAUGCCGCGUGAGUGAUGAAGGCCUUAGGGUUGUAAAGCUCUUUUACCCGGGAUGAUAAUGACAGUACCGGGAGAAUAAGCUCCGGCUAACUCCGUGCCAGCAGCCGCGGUAAU
rnacentral:rRNA from 1 species